AAAUGUGGAACAGCCUUCUGGAGUUCUUGUUGAAGACAGCAUGAAUGAUCUGCUAUUAUUUUCUCCUGAUCAAGUUGGUUUUCAAGGAGACAAAGCAUUUGCUCCAAGUUCUCGAACUCCAAAGAAUUUAUACCGUAGAAUAUUGGGAACUUUAUCAGAAAAAUGUAUUGCUUCAGAAUCUUCAUCUGGAAAUUCAUGUAUAGUUGUUAGAUCCCCAACCAUUUGCAAGAAGAAUAAUGAAAAUCUUUUACUUGCAUCCACAUCAGCACCUUCAGAGAAUACAAUUGAUAAUACUGAGAAUGAUGCUGGUGCUGAAAAUCUUAGCAUAUUUGGUGAAACUCCUUUCAAAAGGAGUAUUGAAUCUCCUUCAGCAUGGAAGUCUCCUUGGUUCAUUAAUUCUUUUCUGCCUGGCCCAAGGGUUGACACAGACAUAUCUAUUGAGGAUAUUGGGUAUUUUUUGAGCCCUGGUGAGAGAAGCUAUGAUGCCAUUGCAUUGAUGAAGCAGUUAAGCGAGCAAACUGCCUCUGCUUAUGCUGAUGCUUUGGAAGUUUUGGGAAAUGAAACUCAUGAAACAAUAUUAGAAAAAAGGCACUCCAAUAUGAACCAUGAGAACAAUGAUGCACCAAAUAAUCAGCUUGAGAAUCGUUCCCGAUUGGCUUCAAACGUUUCGACAGAAUGCCGUACCCUUGACUUCAGUGAAUGUGAGGCACCCGGGAAGGGAACAGAAAGGGGGAUAUCUUCAACUGCCAUGACCUUCUCAAGUCCCUCUUCCUAUCUGUUGAAGGGUUGCAGGUAGCAAUUUCUCACAGUUGAUUUGUAGCUUAUAUAUAUAUAUAUGUAUGUAUGUAUACUUUUUGCCUUUUAAUUUUUUCCCCCUAUUUUUCAUUCUGUGUGGAACACAAAUCAAUUAAUUGAUAGAAGACUGUCUGCCCUUGGCUUAUCAAAAAAAAAAAAAAAAAAAAAAA
rnacentral:misc_RNA from 1 species